rnacentral:rRNA from 1 species
CGGGUGAGUAAUGUCUGGGAAACUGCCCGAUGGAGGGGGAUAACUACUGGAAACGGUAGCUAAUACCGCAUGACGUCGCAAGACCAAAGAGGGGGACCUUCGGGCCUCUUGCCAUCGGAUGUGCCCAGAUGGGAUUAGCUAGUAGGUGGGGUAACGGCUCACCUAGGCGACGAUCCCUAGCUGAUCUGAGAGGAUGACCAGCCACACUGGAACUGAGACACGGUCCAG